UUUCCCCUACGGGGGGCAGCAGUGAGGAAUAUUGGUCAAUGGGCGCAGGCCUGAACCAGCCAAGUCGCGUGAGGGAAGACUGCCCUAUGGGUUGUAAACCUCUUUUAUAAGGGAAGAAUAAUGACUACGUGUAGUCAGAUGCCCGUACCUUAUGAAUAAGCAUCGGCUAACUCCGUGCCAGCAGCCGCGGUAAUACGUAUGGUGCAAGCGUUAUCCGGAUUUACUGGGUGUAAAGGGAGCGCAGGCGGCGCGUUAAGCCUGGUGUGAAAGCCCGCGGCCCAACCGCGGGACUGCAUUG
rnacentral:rRNA from 1 species